rnacentral:lncRNA from 1 species
UAACAGUGUUUCAGAAAGGAACAAUCUCUAUCUGUGAACCUGUAGUCAAUUCAGAGUUCCCCAGACUGGCGUUCUGUUACAGAGGGAGUUUAGAUUCAACUUCAGAUGAGAAAAAUGAGGAUCUGACAUGAAAAGUGACUUGCAGUAGGUGCAAACUAGUGUCCAGGGCUCUGGCCUCCACCUCUGGUCAACUUUCACCACCCCAUGUUAUGCUAACCCCUGGCAUUCUGUUUGUGCACAACCAAGUCUUUAAUUUGUCCUAGUAGUCAUAUUUUUUUCCUCUUCUUCUUAAAUUGAUGUCUUCACUUGCUGUUUCCUUGGGUGUUGAAACCCAAGUCCCAUCCCCUGAGGAACCAACAACAUUGAAUACGAAUAUGGCCAUGAACUGAUUGGCCAAAUCUACUCUGACCUGUGCUCCCAAGGUGAAUGACCUUGUUGGGGUUGACUAAGUCUUUUCCAGGGAGGUCAACAUCACCUCAGCUAUUUCAAAACAGAGCUAAAGUUCCAGUCCAGGGAAUGGCUGAUUCUUCAGGUGUGUUUCUGUGUGCACAACUUGUUCUUUCAACAACCUCCCCAUGAGUUUCUGGAAUGUGAAGACUACUUUUGUCUGAAGAAACCACUGGCCUACAUAUUUUUGUUAUACACACAUGAAAAAAUUGUUACAAGAGGUACUGCUGUGACAAGCAAUAUAAAGUCUUGGACUGUUUCCUAGUUAUUUGUCCGUACUUUAUCCACCUGCCUGAGGAGAGUGGUACAAUUUUGAGAGGAAG